rnacentral:tmRNA from 1 species
GGGGGCGACCUGGUUUCGACAGGGGUUGUGAAGCGGCUAGGGCAUGUCGAGGACCCGUCACCUCGUUAAUCAAUGGGAAAAAACGUAACUGCAAACGACGAUACGUUCGCACUGGCAGCCUAAGGGCCGCCGUCCUCUGCCUAGUUCACUGACGGGCUAGCGUCGCAAGACCGGUAGCAAUACCGCCAGAGGUCAUAUACGUCAGUUAAGCCUUGCCGGGUCGCGCGGACGGCCGGGUCGAAAACUUAGCGAAUCGCCGUAGCGCAGCGUGUUCGUCCGCGUCGCUGCGGUUAAAUCAAAAGACUGAACUAAACAUGUAGAACUAGUCGUAGAGCGCUUCUGGACGCGGGUUCGAUUCCCGCCGCCUCCACCA